AAGUCGUAACAAGGUCUCCGUUGGUGAACCAGCGGAGGGAUCAUUAAAGAGUUGCAAAACUCCCACAAACCAUCGCGAACGUUACCCAGACGUCGUUGCUUCGGUGGGCUCGCCCGCCGGGGGGACGCUACCAGACUCUUGCAGUUCUUCGGCCUCUCUGAGUACGAUUUUUAAAUAAGUCAAAACUUUCAACAACGGAUCUCUUGGUUCUG
rnacentral:misc_RNA from 1 species